rnacentral:rRNA from 1 species
GACGAACGCUGGCGGCGUGCUUAACACAUGCAAGUCGAACGCUGAAGCCCUUUCGGGGGUGGAUGAGUGGCGAACGGGUGAGUAACACGUGGGUAAUCUGCCCUGCACACUGGGAUAAGCCUUGGAAACGGGGUCUAAUACCGGAUAGGACACAUCGCCGCAUGGCGUGUGCGUGGAAAGUUCCGGCGGUGCAGGUUGAGCCCGCGGCCUAUCAGCUGGUUGGUGGGGUGAUGGCCUACCCAGGCGACGACGGGUAGCCGGCCUGAGAGGGUGACCGGCCACACUGGGACUGAGACACGGCCCAGACUCCUACGGGAGGCAGCAGUGGGGAAUCUUGCGCAAUGGGCGAAAGCCUGACGCAGCAACGCCGCGUGGGGGAUGACGGCCUUCGGGUUGUAAACCUCUUUCGACCGGGACGAAGGGUGACUGACGGUACCGGUAGAAGAAGCACCGGCUAACUACGUGCCAGCAGCCGCCGUAA